CUUCGGCCAAGUUGAAGGGAUGACUUAGUGGCGGACGGGUGAGUAACGCGUGAGGAACCUGCCUUUCAGUGGGGGACAACAGUUGGAAACGACUGCUAAUACCGCAUAAUGUUUCUGGACCGCAUGAUUUGGAAACCAAAGCUUUAUGUGCUGAAAGAUGGCCUCGCGUCUGAUUAGAUAGUUGGUGAGGUAACGGCCCACCAAGUCUACGAUCAGUAGCCGGACUGAGAGGUUGAACGGCCACAUUGGGACUGAGAUACGGCCCAGACUCC
rnacentral:rRNA from 1 species